UAAUACGUAGGGGGCAAGCGUUGUCCGGAAUCAUUGGGCGUAAAGCGCGCGCAGGCGGUCCCUUAAGUCUGAUGUGAAAGCCCACGGCUCAACCGUGGAGGGCCAUUGGAAACUGGGGGGCUUGAGUGCAGGAGAGGAGAGUGGAAUUCCUGGUGUAGCGGUGAAAUGCGUAGAGAUCAGGAGGAACACCGAUGGCGAAGGCAGCUCUCUGGCCUGUAACUGACGCUGAGGCGCGAAAGCGUGGGGAGCAAACAGGAUUAGAUACCCUGGUAGUCCACGCCGUAAACGAUGAGUGCUAGGUGUUAGAGAUUUUGAACCUUUAGUGCCGAAGUUAACACAUUAAGCACUCCGCCUGGGGAGUACGGUCGCAAGACUGAA
rnacentral:rRNA from 1 species